rnacentral:rRNA from 1 species
UACGAAGGGUGCAAGCGUUACUCGGAAUUACUGGGCGUAAAGCGUGCGUAGGUGGUUUGUUAAGUCUGUUGUGAAAGCCCCGGGCUCAACCUGGGAAUGGCAAUGGAUACUGGCAAGCUAGAGUGCGGUAGAGGGUAGUGGAAUUCCCGGUGUAGCGGUGAAAUUCGUAGAUAUCGAGAGGAACACCGGUGGCGAAGGCGGCGAUCUGGACGAUGACUGACGCUGAGACGCGAAAGCGUGGGGAGCAAACAGG